CCCACAUUCAUUGCAUUCAUGUCUUGGCCUCUGAGUAUGAGCAGCACAGCAGCAGAAACGGAUGGGGGAGGGGAGGCAGAAACAAACUCCGUACACACAGCCAGGCCCUUCCGCAGCCGACCGACUAGUACACAACUUUGCAACACUAUUUGCCUACUAAAAUAGUUUCUAACUUCCUUUGAGGACAUGCUGGACAAUCACUCCUACUUCCUAAUCAGCAGGAACGAAGACAAAAGACAUUCCGAUCUCUCAGCUGUAUGUCACUAAUUCAUGUACCCAUUCAAAAUGCUCAAGUUCUGUUCCAACUAUUUCAGUGGCUGUGACUGAAUAAUAUGCAGCUCAAGCUUUCAAUAAACAGGCAAUGACAGCCAUAACGGCCGACUGAGAUUGAGAGGGAACAGAAUGAGACCUGCAGAUGUUCCUUUGACUUCCUUUCACACUGCUCUCGAGAACCACUGUUGGCUAUAGAGAGAUCUUUCGAAAUAGGCAUUGACUCAAUACUACUGUAAAUAUAGUAAUUGCCACCAUUCUAGCUUCACUACGAACAGUUUUAAGAUGCAGAGAUGGAUGGACGAAGCAUACAUACAAUGCAUACACCGUAAUUUUUCUUAAUAAACAUGAAUAAAUCCUUAA